CGCUCUUUGUGUAAGAUAAAUAAAGAGUCGUGCCUGCCCAGUGAUUAUUUAAACGGCCGCAGUACCCUGACUGUGCAAAGGUAGCAUAAUCAUUUGCCUUUUAAUUGGAGGCUGGAAUGAAUGGCUUGACGGAUUCCUGCUGUCUUUUUUUUAUUAACUAGAAUUUAAUUUUUAGGUGCAGAAGCCUAAAUGUUAUUAAAAGACGAAAAGACCCUGUCGAACUUAAGAAUGAAAUUAGAAUUUUAUUAUUUCUAUAGGAUAGGAAUAUUUUAGUUUGUCCUUUUGUUGGGGUGACAAAAGAACAGAUAAAGCUUCUUUAAUUUAAGGUAACCUAUAAGUUAAAAUGAUCCGUAAAUUUACGAAAUAAGAAUAAGUUACCGCAGGGAUAACAGCGUUAUUUUUCUGGAGAGUUCAAAUUGAAGGAAAAGAUUGCGACCUCGAUGUUGGAUUAGAAUACCGAGUAGGUGUAGCAGCUUAUUUUGGGGGCCUGUUCGUCCUUUAAAUUUCU
rnacentral:rRNA from 1 species